CAUAAUCUCUGAGGAGAAAAGCAGGGGAUCGAAAGACCUUGCACUUUUGGAGCGACCGAUGUCUGAUUAGCUAGUUGGUGGGGUAAAGGCCUACCAAGGCAUCGAUCAGUAGCUGGUCUGAGAGGACGACCAGCCACACUGGGACUGAGACACGGCCCAGACUCCUACGGGAGGCAGCAGUGGGGAAUUUUGGACAAUGGGCGCAAGCCUGAUCCAGCCAUGCCGCGUGAGUGAAGAAGGCCUUCGGGUUGUAAAGCUCUUUCAGUCGGGAAGAAAAGGUUGCGACUAAUAAUCGCGAUCAAUGACGGUACCGAAAGAAGAAG
rnacentral:rRNA from 1 species